rnacentral:lncRNA from 12 species
GUUUGGUCAGAGCUGGGAUGGGAAAACUCCAGCAAAAACUGAAGCACUCCAGGAAGCCGUGUGGAUUAAUUUAGCUCCUGGUAUUCUUCCCUCUGUCUGAAUAAAUAUCGAACCAACCUCUAACCGUGCUGUUGCAGGAAAAAUCAUCAAGCUGCCAGUGGAAGAUGGCAAUCCAAAGGUGUCAGGAAAUCGGGUCAUAAGAGAGUUCAAGAUGCUGUUCCCAAAAUGGAGAACAGAACUUGAGGACAUCACGUGCCUUGGACAGAGAUACUCACAAUCCCUUCCUGCAAGGAGAAUCCUGACCCAGUUCUGCAGCUUUUAACUCACUGAACCAUCUCUCCACUGACUCCCAUGGAUGCUGAAUCAAGCCUGGAAGUGACUUUAAAGAAUUCCUGGUGGUUGAAGGUUAAACAAAAACCUAUUUUACAACUGAUCUGACCUAUACAUCCAUUCUCAGUGUUUUUCUUUGCUAAUGACAUAUACAUGCUUAUAUACAACAGAAUCUUAAUUUAAACAUUCAUUUGGGCUGCUCACUCCCUACCUGAAGAACAUCAAUUCUAGCCCUGGGCACUCUUCCAACCACACACUGAAUUGUCACUAGUUUUGAUGAGAACUCUCUGCUGGAUGGUUCUGAUGCCACAGAGAACGUAAUUUAGCCUACAAAAG